AUAAAAAGUAGUAUCUGCCCAAUGUUUAUAAUGAAUGGCUGCAGUAUCAUGACUGUACAAAGGUAGCAUAAUCAUUUGUUCUUUAAUUGAGGACUGGUAUGAAAGAUUUAACUUUAAUUAAAUUGUCUUUUUUUUAUGAUUUUAAUUUUAUUUUUCUAUGAAGAAGUGGAAAUUUAUUAAAAAGACAAGAAGACCCUAUGAAAGUUUAUAAUUUUUAUCCAUAUAUAUAGAUUGGAAAUAGAUGUUAUUGGGUUGGGGCGAUUGUUUGUGUAAACUUUGAUUUUGUUUUUCUUUGAUAGAGUAUUUUGAUCUUUUUUUAAUUUGUUGAAUAAGUUACUCUAGGGAUAACAGCAUAAUUUACUUUGAUAGUUCAUAUUGGUGAGUAAGUUUGUGA
rnacentral:rRNA from 1 species